rnacentral:tRNA from 1 species
AGAAGUUUAGGCUAAUAGUAAGCCGAGAGCCUUCAAAGCUCAAAAUAUGGACCAUACCCAUAAUUUCUG